rnacentral:sRNA from 1 species
GAUGGUAAAGAGAAUUGUUUAGGCAAGCUAUACCUUAUUUUGAUUUUCGGUACCCUUUUAUGAAGGUCCCUAACAGUUCGGAUGGAGAGAGACAGUAAUAAUCGAGUUAUUAAUACUCCAUGUGAGGCACUGAAGGUCCAGUGCUGACAAAAGGAAUGGCGUAGCCUUGGCUGUUCAAUGUCACCUUACAUCGCUUUGUCUAUGAUAUCGUUGGGCAGGAGGGUGUCUAAGGAUUCCUGAACUGCCCUUCAAAUCAAUCAGUGCAUGCAGACAAGCAAGGAGUCUGAGAUUUACAAGAAUGAAUGAGCUGUAUGAGACAUUCGAGCCUGGGCUUGGGGUCAUGAGAGACCCAGAUACCAAAGACAUAAAGGGACAUGUGCACGCAUACAUCACAGGAAGAAGACCCGGGAAACACAAUGUGCUGCACCUGGAGAGGCAGCCCAGUCCAGGGGAAAGGCCUGAGAUUUGUGGCUGCACAGGGAGCUGGAUGAAUUCUAGUCAACCACUGGCUCACUGUUUGCCUUUGG